CAGAAAUGAAUGCCACACACAGAAAGUAAUUGGUGAAUUAUGUGGACUUCAGCUAUUUAGAGGAUGCAGGAAGCAAUCAGAUGAAGCCCCACUUUAAACACGUAGCUGUGUGACCAUGUGAUUGUGGCUGCAUCCCAUAAUAUAGGAAGAUGCGUAAGGCUCCCACAUUUCAGCCCAGGAAAUCCCAGAAAGGAAUACAGAUGCCAGAUACUUGAAAAUACCAGAAAAUGCACUGUGGAAGUGGUAGUAGUGAGGGAAGUGGCAACGUGGAGGGAGAGAAGAGUAAAGCCCACCCUUAAUUUCCAGCUCUUUUCGGAAGGGCAGAGACAUGGCUCCUGCUGCACUGCCUGACUGAUGCUGCUCCUCAAGAU